UACGUAGGGGGCAAGCGUUGUCCGGAAUCAUUGGGCGUAAAGAGCGUGUAGGCGGCCCGGUAAGUCCGCUGUGAAAGUCGGGGGCUCAACCCUCGAAUGCCGGUGGAUACUGUCGGGCUAGAGUGCGGGAGAGGCGAGUGGAAUUCCUGGUGUAGCGGUGAAAUGCGCAGAUAUCAGGAGGAACACCAAUUGCGAAGGCAGCUCGCUGGGACGUAACUGACGCUGAGACGCGAAAGCGUGGGGAGCAAACAGG
rnacentral:rRNA from 1 species